rnacentral:rRNA from 1 species
UACGUAGGGGGCUAGCGUUGUCCGGAUUUAUUGGGCGUAAAGAGCGUGUAGGCGGCCAGAUAGGUCUGCUGUGAAAACUCGAGGCUCAACCUCGAGAUGUCGGCGGAAACCAUUUGGCUAGAGUCCGGAAGAGGGUCGUGGAAUUCCCAGUGUAGAGGUGAAAUUCGUAGAUAUUGGGAAGAACACCGGUGGCGAAGGCGGCGACCUGGUCCUUGACUGACGCUGAGGCGCGAAAGCGUGGGGAGCAAACAGG